rnacentral:rRNA from 1 species
AGAGUUUGAUUAUGGCUCAGGAUGAACGCUAGCUACAGGCUUAACACAUGCAAGUCGAGCGGGACCAUUCGGUGGUUAGCGGCAGACGGGUGAGUAACACGUAUCCAACCUUUCCCUCACUCGGGAAUAGCCUCGGGAAACUGAGAGUAAUUCGCGAUGAAGUGUACGAGGAGCAUUUUUUGCACACCAAAGAUUUAUCGGUGAGGGGUGGGGAUGCGCUCCAUUAGUUAGUAGGCGGGGCAACGGCCCACCUAGACGAUGAUGGAUAGGGGUUCUGAGAGGAAGGUCCCCCACAUUGGAACUGCGACACGGUCCAAACUCCUACGGGAGGCAGCAGUGAGGAAUAUUGGUCAAUGGACGAGAGUCUGAACCAGCCAAAGUAGCGUGCAGGAUGACGGCCCUAUGGGUUGUAAACUGCUUUUAUACGGGGAUAAAGUGAGGGACGUGUCCCUUUUUGUAGGUACCGUAUGAAUAAGGACCGGCUAAUUCCGUGCCAGCCGCCGC